UUUACAGAAAUGAAUGUCAGAGUGAUGAGAAGUAUAUCUGAGUGUAAAAUGCCCAUGUUCAUUAAUCUCUUUUCAGGGUAGGACAUCAGCUUUUUGGGAGCACGAUUAAAGAGAGAAGACGUUCUGUCUCUGAAGCCAUCCAUGGCUGCUCUUUGGUGGCUGCAAGACAGAUGCUGCUCAGUCCUGCCAUCUACAAACCAGCUCGCAGGAGAUUGAUUUGUGAGAUGAGCUGUCGUGCACCAGUAGACCUCUGAUAAACCCUGAUACUUGCUGUGUGAUUCUGGAGAAGAGACACAAAGAUCCAUCAGAACCUGUCCCUCCCUGACCACUGAAGAGCUGUUUCCCAGAAGAUGGAGCUCUUUCCCCAAGACUGGUGAUGAUGGAGACCUUGUGGAGCUUUUCGUCUUGCAGUGCAAGUAGCAGUGAGGCAGACACAUGCUAUGGUCUCAGCCUCCAGCUCUGUUACAGAUUCCUCUAUGAACCUCGUCACAUCAUCUUUCAGUGUCCCAUUCGUGAGCUGUGAAAUGGUACCUGCCAGAUGGAAGACUCCUGUUUAUCCCUGUGCUUUUCACCUUUUCAAAACCAAAAGAAUGAUAGAACUAAUGGAAAUGGUAUCAGGACAUCCUGUGGAUCAGAACUGCUGCCACUACCACACUGCAGCCUCACUGCUUGGUGCUGUACAUCUCUGUUUCACACCAUUCCAUUCAGAGUGUCCAUGGACAAUGGACAGAACAUGGUGGUGUCAGAGGAGAGGUAAGGCCUGACCAGUUCUGUGCCGUGGUUCCCACCUGCAGUGAGUGGAAAACCAUUU
rnacentral:lncRNA from 14 species